UCAAACUUGGUCAUUUAGAGGAAGUAAAAGUCGUAACAAGGUUUCCGUAGGUGAACCUGCGGAAGGAUCAUUACCGAGUUUUGAAGGUGGGGGGUCCUGCUGCUGGCGCGGGAACGCGCACGUGCACGGGCUCUGCACUCGAUCCACUCAACCCCUGUGCACCUUUGCAGAGCGAGUAGGACGUCCCUUUCGAGCGACGCGAUCAGUAGUAGCGAGUAGAGCGAGCGUGCGGAGUCACCGGUAGCUCGAAAGCGAGGCGGUCUUUGGCUCGGAGGGGGAGGUUCGAAAGCUUUGAUUUCAAUCAACCUUUUGCAUGUCUUGUGAACGCGUCGCCCCCCUCGUGGGCGAAAGAAAUACAACUUUCAACAACGGAUCUCUUGGCUCUCGCAUCGAUGAAGAACGCAGC
rnacentral:misc_RNA from 1 species